rnacentral:tRNA from 1 species
GCGGGUGUAGCUCAGGUGGUUAGAGCGCCAGAUUGUGAUUCUGGAAGUCGGGGGUUCAAGUCCCCUCACUCGCCCCA